rnacentral:rRNA from 1 species
AGAGCGAACGCUGGCGGCAGGCCUAAUACAUGCAAGUCGAACGGAUCCUUCGGGAUUAGUGGCGGACGGGUGAGUAACACGUGGGAACGUGCCCUUUGGUUCGGAACAACUCAGGGAAACUUGAGCUAAUACCGAAUGUGCCCUUCGGGGGAAAGAUUUAUCGCCAUUGGAGCGGCCCGCGUCUGAUUAGCUAGUUGGUGGGGUAAAGGCCCACCAAGGCGACGAUCAGUAGCUGGUCUGAGAGGAUGAUCAGCCACACUGGGACUGAGACACGGCCCAGACUCCUACGGGAGGCAGCAGUAGGGAAUCUUGCGCAAUGGGCGAAAGCCUGACGCAGCCAUGCCGCGUGAAUGAUGAAGGUCUUAGGAUUGUAAAAUUCUUUCAGCGGGACGAUAAUGACGGUACCGCAGAAGAAGCCCCGGCUAACUUCGCGCCAGCAGCCGC